UACGUAGGGUGCAAGCGUUAAUCGGAAUUACUGGGCGUAAAGCGUGCGCAGGCGGCUAUGCAAGACAGAUGUGAAAUCCCCAGGCUCAACCUGGGAACUGCAUCCGAUACUGGAUGGCUUGAAUCCGGGAGAGGGAUGCAGAAUUCCAGGUGUAGCGGUGAAAUGCGUAGAUAUCUGGAGGAAUACCGGUGGCGAAGGCGGCAUCCUGGACCAGCACUGACACUAAGGCACGAAAGCGUGGGGAGCAAACAGG
rnacentral:rRNA from 1 species